CCCCUCGCUCCCGGCCCAGUGACUCAGCAUCUCACGCAGCCCAGCACUGCUCUGCAGGCUGUAGGCGUGCGCUCCGGCUUUUCCGCCCACCGCCAGUACAUUCCACUCAGCCCCCCAUGGCAGCCCACGCUCCACGGUCACCCUUGUCGGGCAGGCUCAAAUCAAGGCCUAAUCCGGCCAUAUACUCUUGCCUCAGUUUCCUCAUCUUUAGGACGAGUCCUGAGUUCAAAUCCCAGCAAACACAUCCGUAAGGAGAUCCGACUCCUUCUUCUGGAGUGUCUGAAGACAGCUAGAGUGUACUUACAUAUAGUAAAUAAAUUCUUUAAAAAAAAAAAGUUCUGCUGAAUUGAAUACAUGAAUGAAUGAAAGAAGCAAGCGGAUCUGGCACGAGAAACUCCGCCUCUGCCCUUCAAGUCACUUCCGAACAGAAGCCAGCCAAGGUUCAUCGCAAGUGGCCACACUUGUGUUACAGAGAGGCCAGCA
rnacentral:lncRNA from 1 species